rnacentral:rRNA from 1 species
UACUCGAGUGGCGAACGGGUGAGUAACACGUGGGUGAUCUGCCCUGCACUUCGGGAUAAGCUUGGGAAACUGGGUCUAAUACCGGAUAGGAGCCAUCUUUAGUGUGGUGGUUGGAAAGUUUUUUCGGUGUAGGAUGAGCUCGCGGCCUAUCAGCUUGUUGGUAGGGUAAUAGCCUACCAAGGCGGCGACGGGUAGCCGGCCUGAGAGGGUGUACGGCCACAUUGGGACUGAGAUACGGCCCAG